UACGAAGGGGGCUAGCGUUGUUCGGAAUUACUGGGCGUAAAGCGCGCGUAGGCGGUGAUCUUUGUCAGAGGUGAAAGCCCGGGGCUCAACUCCGGAACUGCCUUUGAUACUGAAGAUCUUGAGUUCGGGAGAGGUGAGUGGAACUGCGAGUGUAGAGGUGAAAUUCGUAGAUAUUCGCAAGAACACCAGUGGCGAAGGCGGCUCACUGGCCCGAUACUGACGCUGAGGCACGAAAGCGUGGGGAGCAAACAGG
rnacentral:rRNA from 1 species